ensembl:snoRNA
GUCUUGUCAAUGAUGUUUAUAAACACAAAUGUCUGAACAAAUGAUUUCCUAUGAUUCAUUCUUCUGUACUGAGACAAGAC